CCAGCUGAAAUUACAGCUCAGACCUAUCCUAAAAGAAAGCUGCUUAGCAGCUACUUAAGUGUCGAUCUCUCAAAGAACUUUUUAUGCGUGAAAGCCAACACCUUAGGCUAACACCUCAAGCAAGAAUCACCCAAAAACUACAAGAAACCGACCUUGCCCAGAAGAGGUUUCCCUCCCCUGGGGGUACCGCCAGAACAGACUAUAAAAGCCUGUUCUGGAUUUUCGUCUCUUUUCUCAUAUUUUCUCCUCUUUGACACCCACUUUUCACUACAUAGAACUCUUCUAAACAUCCAUACAGAGUUGUACAAGCUUUGGUUCCAACCUUUAGACCAUAAAAUCAUAUAGAAAACCUUGUUCAAAGAUCACAUAAGUUGCUGGGAAGCUGUAGGAGUAGUUAACCAAGUGAAUUAAGGAAUUUCGUGAGCUUUAAGCAUCCUUAGUUAAGAGUCAAACAUUGUUGCAGGUUUGGUGUUGUGAGCUCAGGAUUCAGAAGUGAAGCAAGAUAAAGAUGUCGUCGUAGCUUAUGGAUUGAGUUUGUAUUUUAGAUAGUCAAUUAAGGAAUAGUUUCUGAUAUAUUUUGUUGUAUACAAUAUUUGGGAAUAUUAGUCGAGAUAU